UACGUAGGGUGCGAGCGUUAAUCGGAAUUACUGGGCGUAAAGCGCGCGCAGGCGGCCUCGCGCGCCCGACGUGAAAGCCCCCGGCUUAACCGGGGAGGGUCGUUGGGGACGGCGGGGCUUGAGGGCGGGAGAGGUCGGUGGAAUUCCCGGUGUAGUGGUGAAAUGCGUAGAGAUCGGGAGGAACACCAAUGGCGAAGGCAGCUUGCUGGGACGGUACUGACGCUGAGGCGCGAAAGCGUGGGGAGCAGACGAGG
rnacentral:rRNA from 1 species